rnacentral:rRNA from 1 species
CAUGGCUGUCGUCAGCUCGUGCCGUGAGGUGUUAGGUUAAGUCCUGCAACGAGCGCAACCCCUGUUUCCAGUUGCCAUCAAGUAAAGUUGGGGACGUCUGGAGAGACUGCCUGCGCAAGCAGAGAGGAAGGUGGGGAUGACGUCAAGUCAGCACGGCCCUUACGUCCAGGGCUACACACGUGCUACAAUGGCCGGUACAGAGGGCAGCGACCUGGUGACAGGUAGCGAAUCUCCAAAGCCGGUCUCAGUUCAGAUCGGAGUCUGCAACUCGACUCCGUGAAGCUGGAUUCGCUAGUAAUCGGAUAUCAGCAAUGACUCCGGUCGAAUACGUUCCGGGCCUU